CUUAAUAACACACAACUUGGAUAUUAUUUCGCUCUUUGGGAUUUUGUAUCGGUAAAACUUCGUUACAUUUAUACCAGAAAUGCUGUCCACAAAAAUCUUUAGCAGUUUUAUAAUUGAAGAUCUAAAGUUUAUUUGUAGCUUAAUGCCAGACCAGCUCUGAUUGGAUUUGUAUCAUUCUCUUCCAUUUACGAUGGACGCUUAAAAGAUUCUAAAGUCAGCAAGAUUCACCAUGAUUAUCCAGCCUGUUAUUCAUCACAUGAUGCAGUUGUUGUUGGUGCUCGUGGAGCUGGAUUUUGUGCAGAGUUUGGUUGACUCGCAGGCAUCAUAAAUCUUUAAUAGGUGUUGUUCGAUUUUGAAAAUCCUGGAGGAAUCUAGUGAUUCAAUAUCCCUUUCAUUUGGCGGCACUGGCAAAGUUGUUCUGCUUGUCAAGCCAUUUCGUCUUGAUGUCUAUGAUGAAGACCAACUAGUCAUCUCUGUGAAUGCAAAAGGCUUGCUGUACCAUCACCUGCACUAUUCGUCGAUGCUUCCGAAAUUAAUAAAUUUCAUGAUUGAAUCUAUCAAGUUUAUACAUUUAAAAAUCAUUUAAACAAUUGGUUCACAAUUCGUCAUCGCUCUCGAAGGACAUGUCGUAAUUAUCUAUGUUUUCGUCGUUAUGGUUCAAAGGAUGGUCAGUGACUACAGUUGGGAAUGAGGUUUUCAGUUAUAAUACUAUUUCCUCCAGUAGUUCCACGUUAUUACCUCAUUAUCCUGGUACCGUGUCCACAAAGCAAAAAGGAUGGAGUUCUUUAACUGUGUCUCCUUCUUCCUAUGGGCCUUGAACUUCUCGUGAGAGAGAAGCUUCUGUGAUAGCUUUACGUCUUGACACAGCUGCUCCAGCACCAACGUCAUCUUGUAAAACGGGAGAUUUGGGCCACCCGCCAACUGUCAUUGUGAAGCCCUUCACAAUCGUUAUUUGUUCUCAGAAGGAGAUUGAAACAGGACCAAUGAACAGGAGUCCAAAAACGGCCUUGAAUCCAGUUUCGCUCCAUAUAGUCCAUUAAUGUCUCCAGUAUUGGUGGCACCGAUGUUCGUAACGAGUCAAACACCGAAGAUAGGCGAGGCAAAGCAGACGAAAAACGAAGUCGCGAACAGGAUUGGGUCCUUUUUUGUUGUACUCGGUCGACAGGUAAAAAUCGAAGAUUUUCUUCAUUAUUGCCUGGCAACAAUGGAAAUUACAUCCCAAGUGGAAGCAAGAAGGAAACAGUUUUCGGACUGCGACAAAAACUGCGCGUUCAAAAUCUGUCACAAUCCGUUCAACUCUGGGAAGGGGCAUGAUUUUCUGAAUAAGUUUUUGGAACACCGCUAUAUAGUCAAUAGCUCUUCUUCGACACAUGCAACAGAAAAGAAGCGGCACUUGCUUUAAAUCUCCUUUCUCGUUCUUUAUUAUUCCGUUGAUGGAGAGUAACUAAUGGAAUGUCGCAUCUAGGAACCACGUCUUGCAGUCCUCCAACUGUCUCUUCAUUACUUGUGUGAAAAACAGAAGAUGGCGAGCUUUAUUUUUGCCAUGCCCAGCGAAGACCUCUCCUUGAAAAAUGUCUGGAGUGAAGAACUCUACGUGGAUCUCAAAAAAUGGCUCGUCUUUCCUAGGAUAAGGAGGCAUAGAUUUGGAUCUCAAAUAUAUGCAAUGAGAAAAAGCAUGACCUUAACCGCCUAGUCGCAUUUUCUACAUCCGGCAUAUCUCUCCCUGCCAUCUCCUUGUUCUUCUUCAAUUCGUCAAAAAUAAUCCUUUUGGGGGGCUUAAACUUCUCUAGCUUACUCGCUCGUGGUUCCCAUGGUCUGGCGGAUGAUUAUGAUGGACUCCACUGUCUUGAUUGUGUAACUUUUCCUGGAAGUCUUCUUGGCUGUAUUCAACAAGGUAAUUUCUUCCCGACCGAAUUUUUUGAGUUAUUCUCGCUUUGCAGGGGUCUUGAGGCCGUCGGGUUGAGCAACGCCAAGUAAAGGAUUUACCGCUAACACGUUUUUUUGUGCAGCAAUAACCUAGGCAGAAUCAAAAAUCCGUCAAUGUGAAUUUUGUACACUGGCUCCUUCGGUUCUUCAAAUGAAGAUUGCUGACAGAAGAAAACUAAUUAAUGCAGAAAUACCAUUAUAAUUUUUCAUCAAAAAUUUCUUACUUCCAAUGUUGAUUCAAUUGGUUCCACAGGUGGCUGAGCUCUUACACCAUCACUGUCGCGAUUUCGCCUUGAAACAGAUGGUUCAAAGACAUCAGAAUCCUAUAACGGUUAAGGAUAAGAACGUGGAUAUUCUGGUUCGACAGAAGAGUUGUCUGGUUGAAUGCGUCGUCUUAGUCGUGGUGGAGCAACAGGCGGAGUAGCAGUGGGAGAUCUAAGCUGCGAAAGAAUUAAAAGAACAGGAGACAUUAAUAAAGAAACAAUAGGAGAAGACUGUGCCCUUGGAGAUUCUCUAUGACAAGGAGGAGAUGGUCUUCUCUGAAGCGGAGGAGAUGGUGUUCUUUGACGAGGCGGAGAUGGGAUUCUCUGACGCGGAGGAGAUGGUGUUUUCUGAAUAUCAGCAGGAGCAGAACAAACAGGACGUCGUCUGGAUACAUGGGAAGGAUCUAGAAUCUCCGGACGCUUCACGGUUCUUUUCGGGCGAACAGAAGCUCUUGAAGUAACCGCCUCAACGUCGUUUCCAUCACAAGAACCACCUGCAACACUUGCCACUGCUUCACGGACUUCUUGACACUCACUUGCAGACCGUGUACUAUCAGCAUCUGACAAAAUAGCAUUCGCCUAGUUAAAAGAGCAGGGGAUCAUCGCUCACAUCAUCUGUACGAAUCUGUACACUAUCAAUAGAAACACACUUUGCACAGCGGUAGUUGGUGGAAAAUUCUUUCCAGGUGCGUGUGCCACCUCUAGCGAAAACAAAUCCGCAACACGCACGGUGAAGUGGAACUUUACAGACAAGACACCGACAGAACUGUUUCCGACUCGAAACGACACAAUCACAGUGAGAACACUUCGAAUCCGAAGAGAGAUCCAUGGAAGUGUAUCAUAUGGAGGAGGAGCCACAGGACGUUCCGGUGGUUUCCGUUCUGAAGUGUGUGUGCCGCUCCUUCGGGAGCUGUCAGUGGCUAUGUAAGAUAAAGGCUCCCUAGGGAAUAUGUGUUGAAAGCGGCAAAACUCUUCUGAUGGUACCAUCAAAGAGAGAGAAAGACAUCAGAUGAACAUCGAGGUUAUUCUGACUUACCAUCACUGAUUUUAAAUUACUAUCCUGUUUAUUGAGUAUCUAUCCUGUAACCGAUCCCACCACCACCCCCCAGACCAGAAUUUGAUAGUUCUAGGGAGAAGUUGCAGAAACUUGGAGAAGGAGAGGGCUCAAUGACGGCAAAGGAAUUCAAUAAGAUGAAGCUAAAGCUAGAAGCGGAGGUUUUGGCCACAUAAAAAAAAAACAGUUGCUAUGCAUGAAGUUUUCUUAAGCAGACUGGAGAAUCAUCCCAUAUUCAGAGCUGAUACGAACUUUCGUGUUUUUCUUGAAUACGAACAAGAUGUAAUGAACGAGUGUACCUUGUCAAUCAAUUUCAGAAUCAACUCUAGUAAUGCCUUUGAAUAUUCACAGUUGUCCGUACGAGGAAAAAACAAAAAGGAAAAACUGUUAGAUCGUUUUCUACAACGACUGAGAGAUAUUGCUUGGGUCUACAUAAAAGGACGUUGACGAGUUUUUAUUAUAAUUACAAUCCAACACUCCUACGAUAUCCAUUUGCAUUGGUAUAAUAUACACCAUCUUGGGGAACAGACCCUAAAUACAAUCAGAAAUUGUAUAACCAUGA
rnacentral:lncRNA from 1 species